rnacentral:rRNA from 1 species
UACGUAGGGUGCAAGCGUUGUCCGGAUUUAUUGGGCGUAAAGAGCUCGUAGGCGGUUUGUCGCGUCGGAUGUGAAAACCCAGGGCUCAACCCUGGGCCUGCAUUCGAUACGGGCAGACUAGAGUAUGGCAGGGGAGACUGGAAUUCCUGGUGUAGCGGUGAAAUGCGCAGAUAUCAGGAAGAACACCCGUGGCGAAGGCGGCUCUCUGGGACGGUACUGACGCUGAGGCACGAAAGCGUGGGGAGCAAACAGG